GAUGAACGCUGGCGGCGUGCCUAACACAUGCAAGUCGAGCGAUUUACUUCGGUAAAGAGCGGCGGACGGGUGAGUAACGCGUGGGUAAACCUGCCCUGUACACACGGAUAACAUACCGAAAGGUAUGCUAAUACGAGAUAAUAUACUUUUAUCUCAUGGUAGAAGUAUCAAAGCUCUGGCGGUACAGGAUGGACCCGCGUCUGAUUAGCUAGUUGGUAAGGUAACGGCUUACCAAGGCGACGAUCAGUAGCCGACCUGAGAGGGUGAUCGGCCACAUUGGAACUGAGACACGGUCCAAACUCCUACGGGAGGCAGCAGUGGGGGAAUAUUGCACAAUGGGCGGAAAGACCUGAUGCAGCAACG
rnacentral:rRNA from 1 species